UCGCGGCCUAUCAGCUUGUUGGUGGGGUAAUGGCCUACCAAGGCAACGACGGGUAGCUGGUCUGAGAGGAUGAUCAGCCACACUGGGACUGAGACACGGCCCAGACUCCUACGGGAGGCAGCAGUGGGGAAUCUUGCGCAAUGGGCGAAAGCCUGACGCAGCAACGCCGCGUGCGGGAUGAAGGCCUUCGGGCUGUAAACCGCUUUCAGUAGGGAAGAAGCGAAAGUGACGGUACCUACAAAAGAAGCACCGGCUAACUAUGUGCCAGCAGCCGCGGUAAUACAUAGGGUGCAAGCGUUGUCCGGAAUUAUUGGGCGUAAAGAGCUCGUAGGUCGUUUGUUACGUCGGAUGUGAAAACCUGAGGCUCAACCUCAGGCCUGCAUUCGAUACGGGCAAACUAGAGUUUGGUAGGGGAGACUGGAAUUCCUGGUGUAGCGGUGGAAUGCGCAGAUAUCAGGAGGAACACCAAUGGCGAAGGCAGGUCUCUGGGCCAAUGCUGACACUGAGGAGCGAAAGUCUGGGGAGCGAACAGGAUUAGAUACCCUGGUAGUCCAGACCGUAAACGGUGGGCACUAGUUGUGGGAACCUUCCACGGUUUCUGCGACGCAGCUAACGCAUUAAGUGCCCCGCCUGGGGAGUACGAUCGCAAGAUUAAAACUCAAAGGAAUUGACGGGGCCCCGCACAAGCAGCGGAGCAUGCGGCUUAAUUCGACGCAACGCGAAGAACCUUACC
rnacentral:rRNA from 1 species